rnacentral:rRNA from 1 species
GACGAACGCUGGCGGCGUGCUUAACACAUGCAAGUCGAACGGUAAGGCCCCUUCGGGGGUACACGAGUGGCGAACGGGUGAGUAACACGUGAGCAACCUGCCCUUGACUUUGGGAUACCAGCUGGAAGCAGCUGCUAAUACCGGAUAUGACCUCUUCUCUCAUGGGUUGAGGUGGAAAGCUCCGGCGGUCAGGGAUGGGCUCGCGGCCUAUCAGCUUGUUGGUGAGGUAAUGGCUCACCAAGGCUUCGACGGGUAGCCGGCCUGAGAGGGCGACCGGCCACACUGGGACUGAGAUACGGCCCAGACUCCUACGGGAGGCAGCAGUGGGGAAUAUUGCACAAUGGGCGCAAGCCUGAUGCAGCAACGCCGCGUGCGGGAUGACGGCCUUCGGGUUGUAAACCGCUUUCAGUAGGGACGAAGCUAACGUGACGGUACCUACAGAAGAAGGACCGGCUAACUACGUG